GUACUGUGCAGCUUCAGAAGAUGAAACUAUAAACUACAGUAGUCUAGAGGGAAGCUUUAUGCUUAAGACAGUACAGAAACCACAGGGAGAAUAGAAAUAUCCUUAGGGAUCUUGACUAUGGGCUCUGAAGGCUGCACGCUAUUUAUUGCACAUGGUCACAUACAUAUCACACAAUGUUCAGUUCCAAACCAUAGCAACAAAGUCAUCAUGUACCAUGUAUGGAUGCGACACUGAGGGACAUGGCAUAGUGAGCAAUACUGGUGGUAGGUGGAUGGCUGGACUAGAUGAUCUUGAAGGUCUUUUCUAACAUUAUGGUCAUGGCCAGACCCGUGAUAAGAGAGCAGAGAGAUUCAAAUAAUAGUGGAAACAGAAAAGAGAGAAGCAGGUGGGAGACAGUAUCUAUCACAGUGAAGUUAAUGCCUGAAGGGAGCUGUAUGUCGAGACGGAAGUAAGUUAUCUUUAGCAGCCUUGGUAAAGAAAGAAAGAAAAGAUACAGAUCAGAGGAGUUAUUUUUGGCAGAAGUUUCAUUAUGUCCUAUCGGUGGCAGAAGAGGAGGGAGUAGGCCAUUCUAGUUCAACAGUAGAGAAAAGUACUACCAAGACAUCUAACUGAACAGCUAGGAAGCAUCUAAAGCAGCACUGCUUCUGUCUGAUAUCUCCAGAGCUGGGAAUUGGAAAGUGAAGUCUCUGAGUGAUGGAUGGCAAGCACUGCCUUUUGACACCAUACUGGAAAUAGUGGAUGAAUGCUUUGACCUCUGGAUUUGCAUACAUUUGCACUACUUUUCAUGGAGAUGUUCUGCGCAGGCAGCAACUUGCAAAUGGCUGUUGUCUUUCUGUGGAGCUAUGCUGCCAUUUCCCUGUGGUAUGGUGUAAUUCAGCAUGUUUUAUCCACGGUGCCCUACAUCCUUGGUGAUGGGAAGGGAACUGCCUUUUUGGAGAAUCGAGGAACACUGGCUGCUGUCUGACAACUGAAGAGGCAUAAGGCAGGUAGCAGACUGAAAAGUUUCCAAUUCCUAAUGUUUUCUUUCUACAGUUAUCUUUUAGGAGGAAGAUAGUGUCAAAGGCAACCACUAGAAUAAUGCUUAUCACUGAGAGUGCAUGAAGUGGAAUUGCAAAUAGACUGUGAAUAUCACUGUCAGAAGAUAGUCCUCACAUUAAAGUCUCU
rnacentral:lncRNA from 1 species